UGUUGCCGAGGAUGGUCUUGCUGAUGGCGGAGCCCAGGGGGAAGUCUCUGCUCAUCUGGUGAAUGGCGAUCUUGGCGCCCACGACGCGGCUGCCACUGCUGUCCGACACAUGAACAAAAUUUCGUGCAACAUGAUGGUACCAGUUCGAUGCGGUCCUCCCUGUGCUGGCUCCAUUCUUCAGGCGAAAAAGGCUGCAGAGAGGCGCUCCUGAUUGAGACCAUUGAGGCAUUUGGGCUUGCAGUCUACAGAGAACAGAAAAUAUUGCAUCACGAAUUCUCCGAGCAGUACAACUUUGCAAUCAAUUAUUUUUAACUUUCCCGCUGGCAUGAGACAAUAUGCUUAGCAUCUUGCCACUACUAGAAUGUGUUGGCAAUAAUUUAUUGUGCACAUGCAUCGCCAAGUCUAACCUGGAAGUAGAGGACAGAGGUUUGUGACGCCGAGCUGAGAGUGAAGCCGCCCUUGAGGAAGGACCAGCAGUCGUUUCGGACCAGAGCUGUGCCCAGGCACUGGGAUGCGCCGUUGUCUAGUGACAAGAUCUUCGCCUUCACAUGGACUGUUCCUGGCCCAUCAAAUUUUACCCAGCCUGAAGAAAAUCAGUCAGGAAGUUUAACAAUUCAGUUUUGCUAGUUCUUGGUCGAUCUGGAAAUCAAGUUACACAGUUA